GAUGAACGCUGGCGGCAUGCCUAACACAUGCAAGUCGGACGGGAAAUGGUGUUUCCCUUGGCGGUCGGGCGAGGAACGCGUAAGAAACUGCCCGUGGGCUGGGAACAACAGCUGGAUACGGCUCCUAAUACCCCGUUGGCACCGGAUACAACGUGGGGAUCCGCCUGGGGAGGGGUCGGCGUCUGCGUAGCCAGGUGGUGAGGCAAUAGCUUACCAAGGCGAUGAUCAGUAGCUGUUCCGAGAGGAAGAUCAGCCACACUGGUACGGGGACACGGCGCAGGCACCUACGGGAGGCAGGAGUGGGGAAGUUUCCGCAAUGGGGGAAGGCCGGACGGGGCAAUGCGGCGGGGAGGUAGAAGGCGUAGGGGGCGUGAACUGCUUGUCACGGAGAAGAAGCAAUGACGGUAUCUGGGGAAUAAGCAUCGGCUAACUCUGUG
rnacentral:rRNA from 1 species